AUUGAACGCUGGCGGCAGGCCUAACACAUGCAAGUCGAGCGGAUGAAGGGAGCUUGCCCCUGGAUUCAGCGGCGGACGGGUGAGUAAUGCCUAGGAAUCUGCCUGGUAGUGGGGGAUAACGUCCGGAAACGGGCGCUAAUACCGCAUACGUCCUGAGGGAGAAAGUGGGGGAUCUUCGGACCUCACGCUAUCAGAUGAGCCUAGGUCGGAUUAGCUAGUUGGUGGGGUAAAGGCCUACCAAGGCGACGAUCCGUAACUGGUCUGAGAGGAUGAUCAGUCACACUGAACUGAGACACGGUCCAGACUCCUACGGGAGGCAGCAGUGGGGAAUAUUGGACAAAGGGCGAAAGCCUGAUCCAGCCAUGCCGCGUGUGUGAAGAAGGUCUUCGGAUUGUAAAGCACUUUAAGUUGGGAGGAAGGGCAGUAAGUUAAUACCUUGCUGUUUUGACGUUACCAACAGAAUAAGCACCGGCUAACUUCGUG
rnacentral:rRNA from 1 species